rnacentral:rRNA from 1 species
AACGAACGCUGGCGGCAGGCCUAACACAUGCAAGUCGAGCGCGCCCUUCGGGGUGAGCGGCGGACGGGUGAGUAACGCGUGGGAACGUACCCUUUGCUACGGAAUAGCCUCGGGAAACUGAGAGUAAUACCGUAUACGCCCUUUGGGGGAAAGAUUUAUCGGCAAAGGAUCGGCCCGCGUUGGAUUAGGUAGUUGGUGGGGUAAUGGCCCACCAAGCCGACGAUCCAUAGCUGGUUUGAGAGGAUGAUCAGCCACACUGGGACUGAGACACGGCCCAGACUCCUACGGGAGGCAGCAGUGGGGAAUCUUAGACAAUGGGGGCAACCCUGAUCGAGCCAUGCCGCGUGAGUGAUGAAGGCCUUAGGGUUGUAAAGCUCUUUCAGCUGGGAAGAUAAUGACGGUACCAGCAGAAGAAGCCCCGGCUAACUCCGUG